rnacentral:rRNA from 1 species
AUACGAAAGGUGCAAGCGUUGUUCGGAUUUACUGGGCGUAAAGAGAGUGUAGGUGGUUUAUUAAGUCGGAUGUGAAAUCCCGGGGCUCAACCUCGGAACUGCAUUCGAUACUGAUAGGCUAGAGUUUGGGAGGGGUAAGCGGAAUUCCGUGUGUAGCAGUGAAAUGCGUAGAUAUACGGAGGAACACCUGAGGCGAAGGCGGCUUACUGGACCAAUACUGACACUGAGACUCGAAAGCGUGGGUAGCAAACGGGAUUAGAAACCCCAGUAGUCC